rnacentral:rRNA from 1 species
UACAUGUGGGGCAAGCGUUGUUCGGAAUUACUGGGCAUACAGGGUGCGUAGGCGGUUUGUUAAGUCACUGGUGAAAGUUUGCGGCCCAACCGUAAAAUUGCCUGUGAUACUGGCGAACUUGAGUGCGUGAGGGGUAGGGGGAACGAGCAGUGGAGCGGUGAAAUGCGUAGAUAUGGCUCGGAAGGACGGAGCCGAAGGGGCCCUACGGGUACGCAACUGACGCUGAGGCACGAAAGUAUGGGGAGCAAACAGG